rnacentral:rRNA from 1 species
UACGGAGGGUGCGAGCGUUGUCCGGAAUCACUGGGCGUAAAGGGCGCGUAGGCGGCGCGGAAAGUCAACGGUGAAAGCUUGGGGCUCAACCCCGAGUCGGCCGUCGAUACUUCCGUGUUCGAGCACUGUAGAGGCAGGUGGAAUUCCGGGUGUAGCGGUGGAAUGCGUAGAGAUCCGGAAGAACACCGGUGGCGAAGGCGGCCUGCUGGGCAGUAGCUGACGCUGAUGCGCGACAGCGUGGGGAGCAAACAGGG